rnacentral:rRNA from 1 species
AUUGAACGCUGGCGGCAGGCCUAACACAUGCAAGUCGAACGAGUGGCGGACGGGUGAGUAAUGUCUGGGAAACUGCCCGAUGGAGGGGGAUAACUACUGGAAACGGUAGCUAAUACCGCAUACCAUCGGAUGUGCCCAGAUGGGAUUAGCUUGUAGGUGAGGUAACGGCUCACCUAGGCGACGAUCCCUAGCUGGUCUGAGAGGAUGACCAGCCACUCUGGGUAUGAGCCUAGGUCCCGACGCCUAGUGCAGGCAGCAGGUGUGACUAUUUCAAACAGCGCGCGAGGCUGAUGCUGCCUUGCCGCGUGGAUGAAGGGGUCCUUCGGUAUGUCCUGUACUUUCAGCGGGGCGGCUUUGCCCGCAGGACAAUCACCGGCUAACUCCGGGCCAGCAGCCGCGGUAGUUC